ensembl:lincRNA Gm42423 predicted gene 42423
UGGGACAUGAAGCAUAAGAUUUUUCAGUCAAUAAGAAGUGCCGAGGAGGCUUUUUAUACCCCGUCUGUCACCCAGGGUAGGCGUUUUAUCCGCUGCUCAUUUGACGGCUUGUCAGGAAGCAAGGCCUUGCAUGAGCCCCCGGUGCUGCCGACUCAGUGAUGAGGAGCUGGCCGGCCUCUGUGAGGGAGAUGAUAAACGGAGAGGAACGUCUGGGCUCCAGAUCUAUCCUGAGCUGGAGUGUGGAGACAGGAAGAGCCACCUGUGCCUGCUUGUCAAAUGGAACUGGAAGGGGAGUGAGCAGACAGAUGUAGGCACAUCUGCUGAGCAACCAACAGGCCGCCGAGGAGAAGCACAGGCUUGGUCCAGAAGAGGGAGCAGGAAUUGAUGGAGAAAAGCCUUGAGCCCUGGGGAAAACAACAUUCACAACGACUUCUGCAGACAUCAAGGGACAUCAGGGAUUUUCCAGCAGAGUCACCUGAAGGGUCCGCCCAGCAAAGGGUGCUCAAAUGUGUCACCAAGAACUCAAGAAAUUAAGAGAAAUAUGGACUUCAUUAAAAUUCUCUGUGCUGCAGACAGCUCUCAUGAAGACAAACAACCCACAGGGACAGAGAAGACACUUGCAAGUGAUACGCCUAAUGAGAGACUUGUGUCUAAACUAUGUAAAGAACUC